rnacentral:lncRNA from 1 species
GGAAGAGCCAAGACCAAACUCAAAUAUCUGACUAUUUCUGGCUUUGGAGGCUGAUUGAGUGCAGAGGGAUCAGAUGGGGCACCAGGACCAAUAGGACCAGCCGGAAACCCAGGAGACAUGGUAAGCUCUGAGCUCUGUGCUUGACUGCUGGCUUGACCUGGGUUUAGGUCUGUGAAGUAAAACU